CUUAAUUUGACUCAACACGGGGAAACUUACCAGGUCCAGACAUAACAAGGAUUGACAGACUGAGAGCUCUUUCUUGAUUCUAUGGGUGGUGGUGCAUGGCCGUUCUUAGUUGGUGGAGCGAUUUGUCUGGUUAAUUGCGAUAACGAACGAGACCUCAACCUGCUAACUAGCUAUGCCCAGUCUUCCCUCCCCACCUAUCUUCUUAGAGAGACUAUCGUCGUUUAGACGACAGAUUGAUGAGGCAAUAACACGGCUGUGAUGCCCUAAGAUGUGCUGGGCCGCACGCCCGCUAUGAUGAAGUCUUCAACGAGUAUAUAUUCUUGGCCGAGACGGCCGGAUCAUCUUGAAAAAUGUCAUGCUGAUGAUAAUAGAUCGUUGCUAUUGCUGGUCUUCAACGAAUAAUGACUAAGAAGCGCGAGUCAUCAUGCUCGCGAUGACUACGUUGCUGUCUUUUGUACACACCGGUCGCUACUCCUACUGAUUGAAUGCACCGAGGAAUUGUUACUGACCCAGCGACGGCGGCGACGACCACGCCCCCGACGUCAACGAGAAUCCCAUUGAAUCAUUAUCAUUUAGAGGAAGGAGAAGUCGUGUCCCGGUGCCGAGUUCGAAUUCACCUACACCGAGCAGACCAGUCCCUGAAGUGAAGUCUGAUCUGAGCUAGUCGUGGUCAUGGCCGUAUCCGGUGCCGAGUGAAAUCGGAUCCGAUCUCAUUCCACAUAAAUACGAACCGUAACAUGUAAUGCAGAGCUGCUAGCCUAGAGACUAAUCAACUCCAUUAUUGCGUUGCUGUCCUGUUCCUUUCGGAAACUGACCUGUCGGGCAUUGUGUACUGACCCGCC
rnacentral:rRNA from 1 species